GCUCCAGUGAGGUAGAAUUCUUUAAAUGCUGAGAAAAGGUUCUUCAAUGCUUACGUGCUGAUCUCUUGUACCGGAUACACUGGGCCAUGAAUGAAUGGCCCAACAGGACAUUUGUGAUGGCACAACGCCUAAUCUUAAAUAUUGAUGAACAGUGACAAAUAUUUCACUCGUUUUGAUUUAUCUAUUUUGAACAUUUAACAUGCGUUAAAACAAAACAAAUAACUGCAUUGAUUAAAAGAAUGUCGUACAAAUUGUCAUUAACAUUAAAAAAUAUUGCAUGGUCAAAAAACUCAUUCAUCAUUUAAAUAACUCAAACAAUAAACUCAUUAUUUGUCAUAUAAAUCUUUAAACUGGUAGUCUUUAUUCCUUCUUUAAUUUAAAUUGCGAUCUUGGUAAUGGUUAGUUUUCCCCUGUGGUUUGCACCUCAUUACUCCUGAUGCUUUUACUCAACCAGGAAGGCACAUCAGGGCUGCUCAUGCAUCCACAGUGGUAAGAAAUAACCAUUCAAAUGUUUAUAAGCCUAUGUUGAGUUUGUAAUGGGCCUGUAUGGUCUUUUGUUUUUGUGAUAACGGGCAAUGGGAUAUUUUAUAUUAUUAUUAUCAUAAGAAAUCCCUGUUUUGUGUUGCCUAUAUAGUGUUUCAGAGACUCUAUACCUGUGCAAGGUGGUUACGCCCAAACUGACCCAUGAGUGGUUCCGCCAUGCGUGCUUCUUAAUGGUGUAUUUGUCUGAAGAUCGUCAUGGACCCAAAGGGAAUUUCUGAAAUGCAUAUUAACCUCCACCGCUUCCCUCCAGCAAAACUGCAGCACUGAACACCAGACAAAUAUAAAUAUAAUCUCUAGGAGACACCGUCCCUCGUUUGCUCGGCCUCAUUGACACCACAGCUGCUGGAGAUAAGCUGACUGUUAAUGUCACCGUGGUGACACACGCCAAGUGUGAUCCCGGAGCCACUUAUACACCCUAAUAGCAUUAUCAUGUAUUGUCGUAACAAUGAUGUGAUUCACACACGGCCGUGUUCCUUCACACCGUGUGGAAGAACAGCUCAUUAAUAUUUGUUCAAAUUCUUUACCGUUAAAUUAGGAUUUAGCAUCACAGCUGUAAUUUGGUGACUCAUUUGAAUUCCCAGUGGAACCCGUUCACAGCGAGGCCUUGAGAGGUGUGGAGCACAAACAGAUGAUUAUCCGCUGGGGGGGCGUGCGCAACCAGACAAUCAAAUGUAAUUUGUAAUAGAAAAAUAGAUUCAAGCGGAAGUCUGAGUAUGACAGUAUUUAUUUUGACUAAAUAAAAUCUAAAAGCAACCAUUUGCUAUCAUAUCGGGAAGGAAGAGGUUUAAAAACACGCCUCUUUUUCAAGUUGAUUGGCUGCUUCGGCCAUCGGGCCAUUUUAUUUGAAUUUGAAAAAUGUCAAAAUGUCAAAUCCACAACUUAGCUACAAAGUGCACAUAAAUGUACUUCUUACAUUUGUGAUAAACACCUGACCAGUUCUUUAAACGCUGAGUGAAUAUUGUUUAACAUUUUUAACCUUAUCUUCUGUUUUUCUGUUAUUAUGUAUCAUCUGCCAUUUGGGACUAUAGCACUUUAACUAACUGGCACAUUUACAGCAUGUUUUAUAGAUGUGCACUGUCCCCUAUCAAAUACACUAAUUAAAUUAAACUUGCGUGACUGGGAAUAAAACCAACUGUUCUCGUGGCUGCUGACAAAAUCCCUAAACAGCGAGUCAGAAGGAAAGCGAGACGAGACUUUGAUACCAUGUCACACACCGACUUCUGUCCAAACCGCCGAGCAGCACGACAGAGAUUAAAACAGCUGACAGCAGCGUCUGCCGGUGGUUAAUAAAACAGAAUGUCAUGUACCAGUGUUAAGAGUGGCAUGUACCAGUGUUAAGAGUGGAAUGUACCAGUGUAAAGAGUGGAAUGUACCAGUGGAAAGAGUGGAAUGUACCAGUGUUAAGAGUGUUAAGAGUGGAAUGUACCAGUGUUACGAGUGGCAUGUGCCAGUGUUACGAGUGGAAUGUACCAGUGUAAAGAGUGGAAUGUACCAGUGUAAAGAGUGGAAUGUACCAGUGUUAAGAGUGUUAAGAGUGGCAUGUACCAGUGUUAAGAGUGUUAAGAGUGGCAUGUACCAGUGUUAAGAGUGGAAUGUACCAGUGUAAAGAGUGGAAUGUACCAGUGUAAAGAGUGGAAUGUACCAGUGUUAAGAGUGGCAUGUACCACUGUUAAGAGUGUUAAGAGUGGAAUGUACCAGUGUUACGAGUGGCAUGUGCCAGUGUUACGAGUGGAAUGUACCAGUGUUACGAGUGGAAUGUACCAGUGUUAAGAGUGGCAUGUACCACUGUUAAGAGUGUUAAGAGUGGAAUGUGCCAGUGGCCCGGUGUUAAGGGUGGAAUGUACCGGUGUUAAGAGUGGCAUGUACCACUGUUAAGAGUGUUAAGAGUGGCAUGUGCCAGUGUUACGAGUGGCAUGUACCAGUGUUAAGAGUGUUAAGAGUGGCAUGUGCCACUGUUACAAGUGGCAUGUGCCAGUGUUACGAGUGGCAUGUGCCAGUGUUACGAGUGGCAUGUACCAGUGUUAAGAGUGGCAUGUACCAGGGUUAAGAGUGUUAAGAGUGGAAUGUGCCAGUGUUAAGAGUGGUAAGAGUGGAAUGUACCAGUGUAAAGAGUGGCAUGUACCAGUGUUAAGAGUGGAAUGUACCAGUGUUAAGAGUGGCAUGUACCACUGUUAAGAGUGUUAAGAGUGGAAUGUGCCAGUGGGCCGAGUGGAAUGUACCAGUGUAAAAAGUGGCAUGUACCAGUGUUAAGAGUGUUAAGAGUGGCAUGUGCCAGUGUUACGAGUGGCAUGUACCACUGUUAAGACGUUACAAGUACAAUUUAAGUGCUACAAUUUCUUAGUCUUUAGUCGAGGUAGAGUCUGAAGAGUGUGUCUUUAGUUUGCGGCGGAAGAUGUGAAGGCUCUCUGCGGUCAUGAUGUCUUCAGAGAGCUCGUUCCACCAUUUCGGCGCAAGGACAGCAAAGAGUCAAGAUCUAGUCGAGGGUUUUGCUCUCAGUGAGGGAGGGACAAGUAGUUUUGCAGAUGCAGAGCGGAGAGUGCGGGUUGGGAUGUAGGGUUUGACCAUGUCCUGGAUGUAAGCUGGACCCGAUCCAUUCACAGCAUGGUACGUGAGUUCCAAUGCUUUACCAGUGUAAAGAGUGGCAUGUGCCAGUGUUAAGAGUGGCAUGUGCCAGUGUUAAGGGUGGAAUGUACCAGUGUUAAGAGUGGCAUGCACCAGUGUUAAGAGUGGCAUGUACCAGUGUUAAGGGUGGCAUGUGCCAGUGUUAAGAGUGGAAUGUGCCAGUGUUAAGAGUGGAAUGUAUCAGUGUUACGAGUGGCAUGUAUCAGUGUUAAGAGUGUUAAGAGUCGCAUGUGCCAGUGUUACGAGUGGCAUGUACCAGUGUUACGAGUGGCAUGUACCAGUGUUAAGAGUGGUAAAGAUGGCAUGUACCAAUGUUAAGAGUGGAAUGUACCAGUGUAAAGAGUGGAAUGUACCAGUGUAAAGAGUGGAAUGUGCCAGUGUAAAGAGUGGAAUGUGCCAGUGUUACGAGUGGAAUGUGCCAGUGUUACGAGUGGAAUGUGCCAGUGUUACGAGUGGAAUGUGCCAGUGUUACGAGUGGCAUGUACCAGUGUUACGAGUGGCAUGUACCAGUGUUAAGAGUGGAAUGUACCAGUGUAAAGAGUGGAAUGUACCAGUGUUAAGAGUGGAAUGUACCAGUGUUAAGAGUGGCAUGUGCCAGUGUUACGAGUGGAAUGUACCAGUGUAAAGAGUGGAAUGUACCAGUGUAAAGAGUGGAAUGUAC
ensembl:lncRNA